rnacentral:rRNA from 1 species
ACCGAUAGCGAACAAGUACCGUGAGGGAAAGAUGAAAAGAACUUUGGAAAGAGAGUUAAACAGUACGUGAAAUUGCCGGAAGGGAAGGGUAGGAAGUCAGACAUGCCUUUGCGGAUUCAGCUUGACCUUUUGAGGUUGUGUGUAUUUCCGUUUGGGCAGGCCAACAUCGAUUUUGGCUGUCGGAUAGGAAUGGAAGGAAUGUGGCACUCUUUUCGGAGGGUGUGUUAUAGCCUUCUAUUUGGUACGGCGGCUGGGAUCGAGGAACGCAGUGCACCCUUUUUUGGGCGGGCCUUCGGGCACCUUUGCACAUAG